rnacentral:rRNA from 1 species
UACGUAGGGGGCAAGCGUUGUCCGGAAUCAUUGGGCGUAAAGCGCGUGUAGGCGGUUCAGUAAGUCUGCUGUGAAAGUCCAGGGCUCAACCCUGGGAUGCCGGUGGAUACUGCUGGGCUAGAGUACGGAAGAGGCGAGUGGAAUUCCCGGUGUAGCGGUGAAAUGCGCAGAUAUCGGGAGGAACACCAAUGGCGAAGGCAGCUCGCUGGGACGGUACUGACGCUGAGACGCGAAAGCGUGGGGAGCAAACAGG